CUACUGUCUCACAGUUUUGGCAUCCCUCUUUGUCACCACAGCUGCUAAGAGACAGAGCAGUUGGAGGAGUUGAAGUGACUCUCUGAGACGGACUGACGAGGUGCAGCAUCCUUGAGGUCGAUGUGGAUGCGCUAAGCUGAUGUCCACUGGCUUUGAUUCAGACUCAAGAUCUGUGCCAGUAAGCAACAGGCUUCAUUAACAUCCGUUUGGCCCCCAGUGCACAGACGGUGCGCAGACUGCAUGUGUCCCUCCAGAGAUGAAGCAUCAUUUUUUUUGCCUGUUGAUGUCAUCCCCCUGCAGAGAACAAACUCAGUGUUUCCUGCCCGUGUUUUCCAUGUUGGCUCUCGUCUGUUUGUACAAUCCCGAGCACAAAGGAUUUUCCCUGACCGUCCCACUAUUGAAGUUAUCCCACGAACACAUGCUGGGAUCCAAAUAAAAAUGUUGAAAUAAUUUCCCUUUUCGACAUUCAAUACAAUAAGAGAAUGCGUUUGAAAAAAAAAAAACACAAAUCCUGCAUUCGUGUACUUUAAUGCACUCAGACAUGCUUACAAUAAUAUAUCUACACUCCUGGAUUUAUAGCCACACUGCAGCCAUUACUGUUAGUUACUCCACGUUCCAGGAAAAGGUUGUAUAUUCAGCUUGAGAAGCAUUCAAAGAGGAUGAGGUUAGCGUGGUUAUAAGAAGCAAGGAGAGAUGGGAAAGAAGUGAAAACGUACAAGUCUUCAAAGUUUCAAUAUGAUCAAUGAAAACAUUUGGGUUGAUCGUGCUCAUGUCCUCUGGGUAAAAACGACAGGAAAUCUGGAAAGGGAAAAAGAUGAAAGAAUAGUACGGAGAUUAUUUCAUCGUUCUGCACCUAAAAAAUGUACAAUUAGUAAAGGCCAAAAGCAAGAAUAACCAAUAUUUGCUGUAGUUUUAAGUUAGUGUCAGUUUACUACGAAAAAACCCAAACAUAGAUAUAAAGCAGUCCAAUUUCCUUUAAAAAAACAAACAAAAACAGAACCAACAAACCCGACUAGUGUCUCCACAACCCAUCGAAACCACGGUUGAGCUCCAUUCUGAGCUCUCACUGGGGGCUUGGUGGUUAGGGGCGUGGCCUCUUUACACUCCAGUAAAGCACACACCACCAUCACCUGAAAACACCUGCAUGCUCACCUUUAAACAAACAGAGAUGGCUUUGUGUGCAUAUGUCUAUAAGGCAUUAAAUAUGUGGGUGUUGGUAUACAGUUAUUUGUGUCAAUCACUGUAAAUAUAUGUAUUUGUGUGCAGGUUGGUGCAGAAAAUGGUUAGAUUUUUGCUUCAUUGUGUUGUUUUGUCCAAUAAAAAAGUGUGCAGAUGUGCAUAAAAAUGAA